UACGUAGGGGGCAAGCGUUGUCCGGAUUUAUUGGGCGUAAAGAGCGUGUAGGCGGCUUUGCAAGUCCGUUGUGAAAACUCGAGGCUCAACCUCGAGACGCCGGUGGAAACUGCAAAGCUAGAGUCCGGAAGAGGAGAGUGGAAUUCCUGGUGUAGCGGUGAAAUGCGCAGAUAUCAGGAAGAACACCAAUUGCGAAGGCAGCUCGCUGGGACGUUACUGACGCUGAGACGCGAAAGCGUGGGGAGCAAACAGG
rnacentral:rRNA from 1 species